CAUGUUCUGCGCCGAUACGAUUUUUUUAUUUCACCUCGAGGGCCACAUCUUACAUCAUGAAAAGCUCCCCAUUUAAAUUACGCCGCUAACCUCCCAGAAGCUACUACAUCUAAUCCUCAUAUUUUGAAGGUCUAAAUUAUAAUUUUUUAAAAAUUAUAUUUUUUAAAUCUCUACCCAACAACAAAUAAUAAAUAAAGCUUUUAGGGUCUUGUCGUCAAAUCAAGUAAAGCUUUUAGGG
rnacentral:rRNA from 1 species